UCCAGCAGAUAUAUCACCCUGUAACUCACACCUGGCAGCCCACUGAAGCUCAGCAAGUGUGGGUCUAGCCAGUACCUGGGUGGGAGACCUCCUGGGAAAGCUAAGGUUGCUGCUGGAA
rfam:Lepisosteus oculatus linkage group LG1, whole genome shotgun sequence.